rnacentral:tRNA from 1 species
CUUCGUGGUGUACUGGUCAGCACGCUCGACGCGUAACCGAGAGGUCCGUGGUUCGAUUCCCGGCGAAG